ACCAACUUGACGGAGUGCAACCCAAAGCUACCAAGAUUGUGAUUAUCCACAAAAUCCGUUGAAUCUGAUGCGGUUCGUACCGCCGUAGGAAAUCAAGUUUUCAAAAUCU
rnacentral:ncRNA from 1 species